GAGAUAUGGCAUUUAGGCUCCAAUAUUUUUGUGGACAGCAACAUGUUUGAGGAAAUAAUAUCUACUGUUUGAUUGCAAUUAAAUUUUGGAAAUUAUUCUAUGACCUAUGGGGUAUAUCUGAAAAUAUACGUUUUCUUACAGUAAAACUAUGAAAAUGUUUGAACCUGUAGCGAAUUCAUGAUUUUCUAUUUAUAGUUGAAUAUGACAAAAAAUUACACAAAAGAGGGUGAUG
rnacentral:misc_RNA from 1 species